GAAUAACUUUUACAAAUAACCAGCAGGAACCGGGGAGUCGGUGGUGGGGGCACGCAUGAGUUUCCUUUCCUCUGAAGCCUUGGUUCUUUAAAUUGGCAGCAUAACCACUGUUCCCGUGCACACACGGAUAUUUGAAGGCAUCAGUGAAAAGGAUGCAGGGUAAACAUGAAGCAGAGGACACGGUGGGUUGGCAGAUGUGGGCUGGGUCCUGGAAGCUCACAUGGACCUGGAAGUUUAUUCCAUCCUGAGUUCUCGUCGUGGCUCUGUGUGUUCUGCUUCUCUGGGAAUCUCGGGCAGUUGGAGUCUUUCUGUACACUUCUCAGUGCCUGGCUGUGUGGGGUAGAAGCAAGUAUUUGUGAAACUCGGGCCAAGGUAUUAUCAUUUUCCAUCUGUGCUACCAUGUGAAAAAGGUUGGGAAACUCUACUGGAAACUGACCUCGCUCUUGGGACCCACCCUGCCAGGCAAAAGGGGACACCUGAGGAAAGAGUUUGGAAAAGAGACAGUGGUCAGAAAAGAACUGACAGGAUUUUCCAGUGUCUAGAAAUGCACUGCUUGAAGAGCAGCAGAAUAUAUUACACUGGAGAAGAGAAGACUGUAAGGGGCUAGAUGCUUCAUCUGCAAGAAGAGUAGACUUGCCCUGAAGGAAUAAUCAGGCCAGUGAGAAAGAGCAUAUGCACAUAGAUUUGAGCUCAGUAAAGAAUAAACCUGAGCAGUCCCACAAGGGAACAGUACUCCCCAGAGGAUAAGCUGCCAAAUAUGGGCAGUGUUCAAGCAGAGGUGCAAGGAACACCUGCCAGGUAAACAAUGGACACCUGCCCUGAGGAGGCCGUGAGAUAGAUCAUCUCCAAAGACACCAUCAACCUCUAUGAAAAGGAAGGAUGGGCUUAUUAUGACCACUAUUCAGAGAGAAGAAACUCUUAAUGUUUUCCUGUGAUAUUAGUAUUGUUUUCUAGUGCAAAUUCCUAUCAUCAUGCUGCUCUUCAACUGGAACCAAAACAAAAAUUUAACAUUAUAUUAUACUACUAAUAAAAUUAAUGAUUAAGGAAAUCUGCCAUCCUAAACAGAACCUUUUAUGACUUAAAAUUUGCCUUCCUGAAUUGGAGCUAUGCUGUAUUGACAACUUCCAUUGGAACCCUGGCACAUACAGUAGGAAGGCAUAAUAACUAAGAUCCCUAUCAAUACCAGCUUUUAGGGGAGAACUCCAUACUUUAUAGUGUCCUUUGAUAAUCCAUGAUGGACUGUUAUUUCUACAUUUGCCUGUUUUCACAUUUAUUUUUUAUGUUUUGAUUCUACAGAUGGAAAGUUCCACAAAAUUAUCAUCCACUGUGUAAAACAGUACUUCAUUUUAUCUCAACUAAAAUUACUUUCUUAAGUAUGAAAUACAUAACAAUCAUAAUUUUGUAGACAUUUCUAAAUAAGACUUUUUUCUCUAUUUGCAGGCUAAAGAUUGCUAUACCCCUUAUAAUAGUCUCAUCAUGCCAUUUUGGUGGUUCCUUCUGAAACUUUCUUGAAUUCCACUAGAUUUUGGAGAUGUAGCAAGCAAAACUAUGAUAUAUCCUAUACAUUUUUUUGUAUGUUAUAUAUAAACUGUAAGAACCUUCUUGACAGCUCCCAAGAUUUACUCAAUCUUUUUAAUUGCAUAGAGCUACAGACAUUAGGAAACCUACAAUGAUUCUAGAUUCCUUUGCAGGCUCCUACAAUCACACCCUAUCAAAGCUAGAAUGACUUUAGGAGAUUGUGGCCAACAUUCUACUUUUCCACAGAGAAGGAAUGUUUGCCCAAGUGGCAGGGCCUGAAAAUAGAAGCCAGAGAGUUUGACCCAGAGCUGAGGACUAUUUCAAUCAUAUCCCUCUGUAUGCUUCACUAAAGAUGGGGCAGAAGCUACUUUUGACUGCUUUUUUUCUAAUGCAUGACCUUUUAUUUGAGUAUGCUAAAAAUUAAUCUGCCAGUUUUUGCUUACUCACAUGGCAUAAUGGGUGCUUUCAAUAAUUUCUCACUACCACCUUGACAUGAGCAAGUUACUUAAUCUCUCUAACCUUUGUUUCUCUCUCUGUAAAGUGGGAAUGAUAAUACGAACCUACCCUUAAAAAGUGUGUUGUAAGAAAUAAAUGAGAUGACUUGUUUAUCAUGAUCAUAUUCCGGGCACAUAGUGUAAACUCUUUAAAUUGUUUCCAUUACUGAUUAUGCAUAAUUAUUGUAAGAUGACCUCAAACAUUC
rnacentral:lncRNA from 10 species